rnacentral:rRNA from 1 species
GAUGAACGCUGGCGGCGUGCCCAAUACAUGCAAGUCGAGCGAACAGACGAGGAGCUUGCUCCUCUGACGUUAGCGGCGGACGGGUGAGUAACACGUGGAUAACCUACCUAUAAGACUGGGAUAACUUCGGGAAACCGGAGCUAAUACCGGAUAAUAUAUUGAACCGCAUGGUUCAAUAGUGAAAGACGGUUUUGCUGUCACUUAUAGAUGGAUCCGCGCCGCAUUAGCUAGUUGGUAAGGUAACGGCUUACCAAGGCAACGAUGCGUAGCCGACCUGAGAGGGGUGUCGGCCACAAUGGAAAAGGAGCCAGGGCCCAGCCCCUGCGGGGAGGAGCAGGGGGGAAUCGUCCGGAAUGGGGGGAAGCCAGGGGGAGCCAGGCCGGGGGGGGGAAAAAGGUUGUCGGGAGGUAAAAACUUUUUUAUGGGGAAAAAAAAAAGUGGAAAGUACCAAUGCGGUUCUGGAGGUCACUAAAUAAAAAGCCCAGGGCUACUUCCGGG